rnacentral:rRNA from 1 species
UGGGAAUUUUGGACAAUGGGCGCAAGCCUGAUCCAGCCAUGCCGCGUGCGGGAAGAAGGCCUUCGGGUUGUAAACCGCUUUUGUCAGGGAAGAAAUCUUCUGAGUUAAUACCUCGGGAGGAUGACGGUACCUGAAGAAUAAGCACCGGCUAACUACGUGCCAGCAGCCGCGGUAAUACGUAGGGUGCAAGCGUUAAUCGGAAUUACUGGGCGUAAAGCGUGCGCAGGCGGUUUUGUAAGACAGAGGUGAAAUCCCCGGGCUCAACCUGGGAACUGCCUUUGUGACUGCAAGGCUUGAGUGCGGCAGAGGGGGGAUGGAAUUCCGCGUGUAGCAGUGAAAUGCGUAGAUAUGCGGAGGAACACCGAUGGCGAAGGCAAUCCCCUGGGCCUGCACUGACGCUCAUGCACGAAAGCGUGGGGAGCAACCAGGAUUAGAUACCCUGGUAGUCACGCCCUAAACGAUGUCAACUGGUUGUUGGGAAGGUUCCUUCUCAGUAACGUAGCUAACGCGUGAAGUUGACCGCCUGGGGAGUACGGCCGC